UGUUUGAUCUGUAACAGAAACACCCUCGCUGUAAUCCCGCCUCUCAGCGGUCAGACCUGCUGAUAUCAGCACUACAGAGUGUGUGUGUGUGUGUGUGUGUGUCUGUGUGUCUGUGGUAUCGAACACCUCUAACAGUUUCACAGUUCAAGGAUUUCUGGGUUUCACUGUCUCCUGCGGCUACAGCAGAGAAACAGGCAGAAGAGAGAGAGAGAGAGAGAGAGAGAGAGAAAGAGAGAGAGAGUUAGUUUUCGUGGAGCUGAGAUUUCUGUAUCUUGUCUUGGUGGUGAAACUGAAGUGCAACUCAUCUAAUGUCAUUAAAACAUUAAAACAUCCACGUCUCACAUUUCAGUUUGACAUUAAUCCUACAGUAACGACCACGAUCAUUCAGACCGCCGAUCUGUCCUGAUGAGGGAAUAAAAACACCUGAACGGUGGUCAGUUCAGCCGGCAGGUGAAAUACUGAGUCUGAUCCAACACUUUAUGAAGUUAAGACUAAAAUAAGAUGAGAACAUGCAGAGGCAGAGCAGCAGCUCCCUGUCAGAGAAACUCUGUGUCUGUCAGAGUCGUCCUGACGUAAUAAAGUCACUUUCAUGUUUGAAACGGUUUUUCCUGAACAGGAGCUGUUUUCAUCUGUGGAGGCUGGUGUGUUCAAAAAAAGGUUAAUUUAAGACGGAGCCUGCUAGGACGCGAUAUUUUUUUUCAUAGGAUGGUAGCCAAUCAGAGGUGAAGGAGGCGGGACCUUCCCCUAUAUCACUGGGUCAAGAGCCGUCAGCGCUUAGUUUUACCCUCCCUGAGUUCCGGUAGUUAUUUGGGAAGAUCUGGUACCGAUAAUGUUUAUAAUAAUGUUUAUAUAAUAAUUCACAGAAAAAAUACCAAGAAUUUCAUGUUUAUUAAGAUUCAUCGUCAUUUUAAAACGUCGGAGAUCUGCUGACGCACUAAAAAGCGUUCGCGUUUCCUCAGAAGUCGGAGCUGAAAAUGACGUCACACCCGGUUACCAGCGUUUCAGGUACAAAGACGGAAAAAAGUAAAAUCGGAGGCUGGAAACAAGAUGGCUACGUCUACGAAGGUUAUUUUAUUGCUUGCCUUAUAUUCGGAGAGGUCAGGCGCUAAAAUAACUUUCAUAGAUGUAGCCAUCUUGUUUCAGGCCUACGAUUUCGCUUUUGUCCGACUUUGUAACUGAAAUGUUGGUAACUCGGGUGUGACGUCAUUUUCAGCGCCGGCCUCUGACUUCCGAGGUAACGCGAACGCAGCAAACAGACCACGCCCCCUGACACCGAAAAAAACCUUUAGAAACUCGCCACAGCUGAGGAGCAAACAGAGAAGAGGAGCGUUUACCAUUUUAACUUAAACAUGUCAGAAAGAGAGAGUUAAUUUUACUGUCAAGAAGGAAGAGUUUAAUGAGACUUUCAAACGAGUCAGAAAAACCUCCACAGGCGGCGGUGAGGGCAGCAGCUGCAGCGGUCAUGGUACCGGUCUAAACCGGCCACAGCAGGAGGCUCGCGCCGCUACAGCUAACCGGGUUCACCGACAGCUAACCGAGCCGGGGCAGGAGGCUGGUACCGGGGAAGGAGGCUGGUUAGGUCUACCGCCAGCAGGAGCCAGAUACAGCGGUAACAGGACCACCGACAGGCGGGUAUCCUGACAUCAGUUAACCCGGUACAACAACCGGAGAAAGAGGCGGGAACCGCGACAUCAGCAGCUAGCUUAGAGCAGGAGGAUCGAGAAGGAGAGGAGGAGGAGAGGAGAGGACUGAAGGACUGAGGGAGGUCGAGGGUGACCAAAGGACCCAGAACUUUCACAGACAGACGGAGUAAAACCCGAAAAAAGAGGAGGAGGAGAAUCCGGACAGGUUCUGAUGUGGAGGAGAUUUGGACUAAACAUGGUGAGUUUACAGUCUGUUAACAGGCCGCCGAGCCAAACUGUGAAUAAUAAUAAUAUCAGAAGAUUUGUGUGAUUUAUGAAUCACUUUUUUAACAUUAGACCUGUUGAUAAAUGAAUUUCUGACUGUUUACUGUAAGUCUCAUCUGUGGUGAUGUGGACAUUUGUCUGUGCUGUGAGGAGUAUCAGCCUAAAAUGAUUUAAAUGAUCUUCAUAACAUUUAUAACAUGGAUAUUAUUGAAACUGAGGCAGGUUAGUCAUACAUGUGGACAUUUCCAUGUUGUUUUCUGCCGGUUUUUUCUAUAUAAUCCCGGACCUGUGCCCGUCUCCUCAUCCCUGAGCUGUCUUAUGGACUUUGAGUUUACAUUAUGAUUUAAAAUGAAGAACUGGUUCAGAACACCUGUAAUAUAGAGCUCUAUCUCUGCGGGGAUCCUCUCUGUUGGACUCUGAGAAGAACUACUGAAGCCUGUCAGGGACAAAAGUAAGACCGUUCACUGACACACUGAAUCCUGGUAGAUAUUAAUAAUAAUAAUAUAAUAACUUUAUUUUUAUAGCACUUUUAAAAACAUAAGUUUACAAAGUGUUUGACAAACAGUUAUAAAGCAACAGAACAUGGAAAUAAAAACAAAAGCUCAGUUAAAAACAAGACGUCUGAACUAAAGGACAAUUUCAUUUGUUAUAAGAAACUCAGAAAAUUCAAGAGGGGGGUAGAAAACAGGAAGCAGGACAUAAAAUAUAAAAAGACGAUAUUAAUAAUGAUAAUAACAACAUAAAAUCAUAAUGAUGGAAAUAGUAAUGAUAAAAUGGAAUAACAAAAAUGAGCAGAAAAAAGAAUGAAAUCUCUAAAAGGCCUAAAAGGUUAAAUAAGAAACUAUUAUAAGUAAAACAAAGGCUAAAAGGACAGGAAGUCGAAAUAAGAGAAAAGAGAGCAAAAAAAACUAUUAAAUCAAGUCUGUAAAAGUGAGUUUUUAGAUUUGACUUAAAGAAGUGACUGUCUCUGCUGUUCGCCUUAUCUCCUGGGCUCUGAUACUCCCGUCUGUACGGCCUGUUUCUCUGCUGCUGAGCGAAUUAUCCACAGGAGGUCGUUCGAACCUUUUGGUCCUUCUGUAAAUACAGCUGCUUUUUUUUUUAAAGGGUGUGUCAGUGACUAAAACAGAGUUAAUCUUUGCCUUUGUCUCCCCCACUUUAAGUUUCCACGCUCCUCUGUCUCCCCCUUUUUCCUCACCCCUCAGUGUGUUGUUGUCGCCUUGGCUCAGACUCUCCCCUGGGUGGAGGGUGGAGGGUGGGAGCUGCCUCACCUUCUCCUCUCAGGUUUCAGGGAGGGAGACGACCGCAGAGGAGCGUGAAUAAUUCAGCCAGCCGCCAACACCGGGCAUCGCCUUUCCACUGCGCGCACACACACACACACACACACACACACACACGCGCGCGUCAUAACACACACACGUCAAAACACACACACGUCAAAACACACACACGGCGUGACCUGAUAUGCCCUCACAGCGACCAGCUAAAGGUCAGCAGGUCAGAGUGAGACUAACAGCCUCCUCUGUGCAGACAGAACACGGCUCCUAUCACGGGUUCAUUCAUGGAGAUUCAACCAAUCAGGUCAGUUUGAGGAGGAAAACCCUCUGAUUGUUCCUCUGAGGACACUUCAUUUUAAAGACCAGAUGAUCAUGUGAUCAGGGACGAUCGAGUGAAACUUCAGAGAUGAAGACAGGGAGGUUAAAGUAUCAAAAAUCAGCAACUGAAGUGUGAGAGCGGGUGACUUAUGGAAGAAUAUAAAGAGUUAAUGAUGGAGGAGCUGAGGUGGUAUAUGAAGGGUUAAUGAUGGAGGUGGUAUAUGAAGGGUUAAUGAUGGAGGUGGUUAAUAAAGGGUUAAUGACGGAGCUAAGGCUGCUGGGAAAUGGCAGUCCUCAGGUGAGGUCAUGCCUGACUGACACAUGGCUGCAGGCGUUGCUGUGAGCGAUGCAGACAGUCAUGAUUAAAUAUACCGUAAUUACCUGAAUAUAAGCCCCCCCCCAGAUCUGUAAAGGACAAAUGAGAUUUAGGAAAUUAAAUGGAAAUAAAAACAGACCCAAAAAUAAAAUGACUUGUUUUUAAUGUCUUUUUAACAAAAUUAUGAUCAUGAUGUCUUUAAUUAAAUCGUUAAUCGUGUGUAAAUAAAGCACCAUUGACACAGAGAAAGAACAGAUCUACUGACACUAGAAUCCAGCCAUGACUACGACGGACUUUCAGGGUCACAUCAGGAAAAAAAAAGAUUAAAGUGAUUAACUUAUAAGAAUGAGGUUAUUACUAAUGAGAAUAAAGUCGUAAAAAAGUAAUUAUUUAUAAGAAUAAAAUAUUAAUACAGUAAUAACUUAUGAGAAUAAAGUCAUGAUAAAGUAAUCUCUUAUAAGAAUAAAGCCUUAAAUAAUUUCUCAUAAGAAUGAAGUCGUAGUAAAAUAAUGAAUUAUAAGAAUAAAGUCGCGAAAGUAAUUACUUAUGAGAAUUAGGUUGUAAUUAAGUAAUUACUUAUAAGAAGAAAGUUAAUAUAAAGUUAUUACUCGUGUAAUUCAAGUUGUAAUAAAGUAAUUAUGAAGAUAAAGAAUGUGAUUAAAUUAUUACUUAUAAGAAUAAAGUUGUAAUAAGGUAAUUACUGAAAUGAGAGCCAUAAUUAGUAAUUAGCCUACUUUAUUCUGACUUUAGUUAGUAAUGACUUUAUUCUCAUAAAUUAACGACUUUAAUCUCGAAGUCUUGUGUUGUUUCUAAAUGUGGCCCUGAUACUCCGUGGGACAUUACAGAUCUGUCUCACUUAUUUCUAUUCUGAGGACCGACUGUGAGGUCUGCUUCGGGCUGCUCUCACCUGUAACUGCACCGUCAGCUGAUCACAGAUACAGCCUCUGAUUGGUUGACAGACCAAAACAAAGAUGGCAGCCUGAAUAGAGUACAGUCAGCUAACAACACGGGCUCACCGUAGGAGACAGCCUCUAGUGGACAGGAGAAGAACUGCAGUUUUUCUGUUCUACCCUAUCAUAUUUUAAAAUGAGAGGAUAUUAAUGAGUCCUGUCAGCUCAUUUCUGCUGCCCCCUGGUGGACAGUUGGGACAUUACUGCAGGAUUAGAAACUUUAGAAUCUUUUAGUUUUAGGACUCUUCGUUCAGUUUUUUAGAGGAAAGUUUAGUGUGUUUGUGUCUGUGAGCACGCCACGGCCUCAUCCAUCCACGCUGAGCCACAAAAUAAGGUGACACCACCUUAACGGAGGGCCACAGACACGCCCCCCUGAACCCAGCCCCCACCCCCACACUCAUAAUGAAAGACCAAUUAGAGAGGAGGAUUAAGGCGCUACACGUCCACACACAAAUUAGCAUUAAUCAAAGAGUCACUGAUGUGUGUGUGUGUGUGUGUGUGUGUGUGUGUGUGUGUGUGUUGUCCUCAGUGAAUAGUGAUGAGCUGCAGGCUCAGUGUGAAGUCGUAUAAUCGCUGCUGGUGUUUCUGAUCGAUACCACACCCACCGCCAAGCCCGGCCAAUGGGAGCAGGUUUCCAGCAGGUGUGUGUGCGUGUGUGUGUUAACUCAUCCUGCAGUCACGUUAAACCCGGACAAAAAGCACACGUUGGUAAAGUUUUCGGUCUCUCUCUCUUAGGUUUAUCCGCUCAGCUCUCUUGUUUGAAUCAAGUCCAGAGAAACCGGAUCAGAACCGAUCAGUUUGGGUCUGUAUGAAUUUACUGUAGAAACAUCACAAACCGUCAGAGACCGGGGUUCAGGACUCCAGUUUUGUUAGCUGUGGUCACCGUGGUUACCGGUUAGUGUACCCUCUACAUUUUCAGGGUGAGUCCAGCUCCAGGAUAAGAAGUCUAACUCAUGAACCGGAUCAGAUGGUCACGGGUCAAAAUUACUGAGAUGAUCGACAGGAACUUUUGUGGUUCCCCCUCAAAUCUGUGACCUUAUGAAACGUUCACUCAGGAGAGGUUGGAUCACCACCUUAGCUGUGCUUAGGGCUGAGCGAUAUGGGAAAAAGUUUAUCACGAUAUUUUUUUUCCAUAUCAGUCGAUAUCGAUACAGAUCACAAUAUCAAAAAUCACUUUUAACAUUUAACAUGAACUCGACAUAAUUUACAGUCCACAUUACUCUGCUUCAUGUCCGACCUCCAAAAACCAAAAUACCUCCACACCACCGACGUUUUCCUAACGCCAGUGUUGUGGUUGACAUUGAUGUGGUCAUCUGUUGAGCCUUCAUGGUCAUUUCUGUCGGGGGUAGCACUCAUUUUCUUUGUUUCUCACCAACAGUGCUGUCGGCUUCACCUGUUAAAGUGCUAUGGUUGGGUGGAGCUGCUGUCUGCUACGACGCUGCAGUUGGUUGAUACUUGGUUCUAAUUCAGAACAUGAUUGGUUCAGACCCGGAGAAACUCCCCUUUUCAUUGGCUGUUCGUAUAGUCGACCAAAACAUGUCAGAAUGACGACUAUUGAUAAGCUUAUUGAUCAUGUUUGAUAUUGAUAUUGAGGGAAAUUAAUGUUGGAUAUAUAUCAUUAACGUUUUAUCGCCCAGCCCUACUUCCCUCUGCAGUUUACUAACUUAUGGAGAUUAAUGUUUAUAUUUUGGUUUUUCGGCACCAUCAGCUGGUUUUCUUUGGUUUCUGUUUGAAGAACUUUACUUGAGUUGAACUCUCUGAUAUUUCUGUUUCCUCCCUGAUCUUUGACUCUCCUCUCUCUUUGAGAUCGAUCCUGCUGUUUCUCCGUCUCUGGGAUAACGUCAGUGAGUGUCUGUAAGAAAAUGGUCUCAUGUAGUUUUCAGUCUUUAACAGGACCUGUGACCCCGACCUGAUGAAGCUCAAUCAGAACUUUUUAAUCUGAAAUCGUUGUUUUCCAAACAUUUCUCUUAUUUUAGUUAAAUAUAAUUUUUCAAACACUUUUUUACACUUAAAAACACUUUAAAGAUUAUUAUCAUUCCAACAUUUUGAACUCUAAAUAUGGACCGAUCUCCAAAAUGGUUUUUCACUGUCUCUGAAUAAGAAAGCUGUUAAAUUACUGAUGUACUCCUUACUGAUGAGCAUCGUGUUUUUGAAGCAAAGCGAAGAGAAGGUUUGUUUUUAGAUUCUGAGUCAGGGCGAAACUGAGACUCUAGACAGACAGACAGACAACAGGAAACCAGAGUGAAGAGAGACUAUUACAGUGAAACUGAGACUCUGUGAGGAUGUCCUUCAGUGAGAAAUGUUUUUUUGACGUAUUAAAUUCUUCCUCUCUUUUUACAUGAACCUUUGUUUGUUUGCUGUAGUUUACUCGAUUUUGCUUUAGUUUCCUGGAGUUUGCUGUGGUUUUCUGUACUUUAGUGUCGUUAAGUGUACUUUAGUGUAGUUUAGUGUAGUUCCCUUAAGUUUACUGGAGUUUCCUAAAGUUAACUGGAAGUUACUUGAGUUUACUGUGGUUAUCUGUAGUUUCCUGUGAGUACCUGUAGUUUGAGAACAAAGUAAAGGCCCGUUCCUGUAUCAGACUCUUACAGUAGUUUGCUGUAGUUUCCUGUGAGUACCUGUAGUUUCCUGUAGUUAUCUGUAGUUAUCUGUAGUUUGCUGUAGUUUGAGAACAAAGUGAAGGCCCGUUCCUGUAUCAGACUCUCACAGUAGUUUUCUGUAGUUAUCUGUAGUUUUCUGUAGUUUGAGAACAAAGUAAAGGCCCGUUCCUGUAUCAGACUCUUACAGUAGUUAUCUGUAGUUUGCUGUAGUUUUCUGUAGUUAUCUGUAGUUACCUGUAGUUUUCUGUAGUUAUCUGUAGUUUUCUGUAGUUUGAGAACAAAGUAAAGGCCCGUUCCUGUAUCAGACUCUCACAGUAGUUUUCUGUAGUUAUCUGUAGUUUGCUGUAGUUAUCUGUAGUUUCCUGUGUGUACCUGUAGUUUGCUGUAGUCUGAGAACAAAGUAAAGGCCCGUUCCUGUAUCAGACUCUUACAGUAGUUUGCUGUAGUUUGCUGUAGUUAUCUGUAGUUUCAUGUAGUUUCAUGUAGUUAUCUGUAGUUUGAGAACAAAGUAAAGGCCCGUUCCUGUAUCAGACUCUCACAGUAGUUAUCUGUAGUUUUCUGUAGUUAUCUGUAGUUUGCUGUAGUCUGAGAACAAAGUGAAGGCCCGUUUCUGUAUCAGACUCUUACAGUAGUUUUCUGUAGUUUCCUGUAGUUUGCUGUAGUUAUCUGUAGUUACCUGUAGUUUGCUGUAGUUAUCUGUAGUUACCUGUAGUUUGAGAACAAAGUGAAGGCCCGUUCCUGUAUCAGACUCUCACAGUAGUUAUCUGUAGUUGUCUGUAGUUUUCUGUAGUUACCUGUAGUUUGCUGUAGUUUGCUGUAGUCUGAGAACAAAGUAAAGGCCCAUUCCUGUAUCAGACUCUUACAGUAGUUUGCUGUAGUUUGCUGUAGUUAUCUGUAGUCAUCUGUAGUUUGCUGUAGUUUUCUGUAGUUAUCUGUAGUUUCCUGUAGUUGUAGUUUCUGUAGUUUCCUGUAGUUAUCUGUAGUUUGCUGUAGUUUUCUGUAGUUUUCUGUAGUUUGAGAACAAAGUAAAGGCCCGUUUCUGUAUCAGACAAUCACAGCUCUGAUAUCAGCAGGUUCAACUCCGACACAAAGCCCUGACUGUGGAGGGAAAUCUGCUGAUUAAAGAGCUAAUAUACACCCCUCCCUCCCUCCUCCUCCUCCUCCUCCUCUUCAUCCCUCUCUUUCUCCUCCUCCUCCUCUUUGUCUCCUUCAAGGUUCUUCAAACAGAGCUGGUCAGGAUUUAAGGCGUCUGAUCUUUAAAUAUGAUUUUAUCUCCCUGCAGAGGAGACAUUUACUCUGACAGGUCGACGUCUCCCCUGAGGAGGAAACUUACCCUCCUCCUCCUCCUCCUCUUCUUCCUCCUCCCUCUCUCUCCUCUCAUCUCCUCCUCUCUUAUUAUCUCGUGUCAUCUUGACUCUCUCUCCUCCACAUCCUCUCAUCCCUCUUCAUGUGCUCUCUCUCUCUCUCUGUCCUCCUCACCUCAUUUCUCCU
rnacentral:lncRNA from 1 species